rnacentral:rRNA from 1 species
GACGAACGCUGGCGGCGUGCUUAACACAUGCAAGUCGAACGGAAAGGCCCUUCGGGGUACUCGAGUGGCGAACGGGUGAGUAACACGUGGGUGAUCUGCCCUGCACUUUGGGAUAAGCCUGGGAAACUGGGUCUAAUACCGAAUAGGACCACGCGCUUCAUGGUGUGUGGUGGAAAGCUUUUGCGGUGUGGGAUGGGCCCGCGGCCUAUCAGCUUGUUGGUGGGGUAAUGGCCUACCAAGGCGACGACGGGUAGCCGGCCUGAGAGGGUGACCGGCCACACUGGGACUGAGAUACGGCCCAGACUCCUACGGGAGGCAGCAGUGGGGAAUAUUGCACAAUGGGCGCAAGCCUGAUGCAGCGACGCCGCGUGAGGGAUGACGGCCUUCGGUUUGUAAACCUCUUUCAAUAGGGACGAAGCGCAAGUGACGGUACCUAUAGAAGAAGCACCGGCCAACUACGUG